UACAGAGGUCUCAAGCGUUGUUCGGAAUUAUUGGGCGUAAAGGGCGCGUAGGCGGUGCGGUAAGUCUUUUGUGAAAUCUCCGGGCUCAACUCGGAGUCUGCAGGAGAAACUGCCGUGCUUGAGUAUGGGAGAGGUGAGUGGAAUUCCUGGUGUAGCGGUGAAAUGCGUAGAUAUCAGGAGGAACACCUGUGGCGAAAGCGGCUCACUGGACCAUUACUGACGCUGAGGCGCGAAAGCUAGGGGAGCAAACAGG
rnacentral:rRNA from 1 species